rnacentral:rRNA from 1 species
AAUGAACGUUGGCGGCGUGGAUUAGGCAUGCAAGUCGUACGCCCCGCAAGGGGCGUGGCGCAAGGGUGAGUAAGGCGACGGCAACCAACCUGGGGGCCGGACAUAGCCGCGGGAAACUGCGGGUAAUAUCCGGCGCCGUCGGAGGGGGGCAUCUCCCUCCGACGAAAGGGGUGACUCCGCCCCCAGACGGGCCGUCGUGGUAUUAGGUAGUUGGCGGGGUAACGGCCCACCAAGCCUGCGAUGCCUACCGGGCGUGCGAGCGUGGCCCGGCACACUGGGACUGAGACACUGCCCAGACACCUACGGGUGGCUGCAGUCGAGAAUCUUCGGCAAUGGGCGCAAGCCUGACCGAGCGACGCCGCGUGGAGGAUGAAGGCCUUCGGGUUGUAAACUCCUGUCGAGGGGGAGCAAGGUGCCGUGCAGAGCGGCGCUUGAGUGAUCCCUGGAGGAAGCACGGGCUAAGUUCGUGCCAGCAGCCGCCGUAAUAC